rnacentral:lncRNA from 1 species
AACAUCAAAUAUUCUCCCUCUUCCUCCCAAUCACGUUGCCCAAUGCUCACCACUCUGAUACUCCCUUCACCAUCUUCCAUCAUCCAUGAAUGAAGAAAGGCAACAAUGGACAAUGUUUCCCAACCUCUCAAUGUGGUUGAAACAAAAGUGGAAUAGAGAAGUUCGGUCCAAUGAAAGCAACAACGGGAGAAAGUUACAUCUAACAAAGAAUGAGAGGAGUUCAGUGGUAGUGGUUUUGUGGCCAAAGAUGACCCACAAUGGCCAGAAAGUGGAUGAGUGUGGCAAAAAAGAUGGGGUGGUUGUGGUCUAGGAGAUAAAAGAAGCUCCUGUGAGAUCUAUCUAUUCUCUUUUGGAUAUUUUUUACAUUACCUAUUUAACUAGUUUUUGGUUCCCCUUUUGUUUUUCUUGUUUUGAUUAAUAAUUAGGUAUUUUGGUAUGUAUGAUUUGAUACAGGGUGGUGAUUGGGUUUGUUCCAGGUAGAGUGAAAAUCACCACAUUUGUUUUUUCUUUAUGCAUUACUCUACUCAUGCGAGUUCCACCGGGACUGCAGCAUUUUUGCCUCUGGUUGACUCAACAAUGUGGUGGCGGUGGUGAUGGAAGAUGGUGAAGGGAGUGGUGGACAGCAUGAUUGGGAAGAGGAAGAUAUUGUAUGGAUGGUGUAGCAUUAAAUGUUAAAUGUUAUAGGACUUAUUGUGUAAAAAAUUUAUGGUAGAAAACCUAUCUCAGUUGUGCAUCAUAGACUCAGCCUUUAACCAAAACCAUGUUCAACUCUAAUUUUAUUUUUGUACAAGUGAAUUAUUAUAUUAACAUAAGUUAGUGCCUGUUUGGAUCUGUGUUUGAGUGUUGAGUAAUGCUAACCGUGAUUUGCUUCUCCUAUAAUGUUGUUUGGUUUAAAAAAGAUGAAGCGAUUCUUCCAGCCGAAGCUUUAGAUGGUAAAGGUAACAUUUUUAGAUUGAAUUUAUUAUAAAGUAUAGACAUUAAACUUCCAAAGAGAACUUAGAAAAAAAGAUGAUCAGAAG